rnacentral:rRNA from 1 species
UAACACGUAAGUAACCUGCCCUUUAGUGGGGGAUAACGCUCCGAAAGGAUCGCUAAUACCGCAUAAGAUCUCUUUUUCGCAUGAUUUAGAGAUGAAAGAUUUAUUGCUAAAGGAUGGGCUUGCGUAUGAUUAGCUAGUUGGUAGGGUAAUGGCUUACCAAGGCUACGAUCAUUAGCUGGUCUGAGAGGAUGAUCAGCCACACUGGGACUGAGACACGGCCCAGACUCC